rnacentral:rRNA from 1 species
UACGAAGGGUGCAAGCGUUAAUCGGAAUUACUGGGCGUAAAGCGCGCGUAGGUGGUUUGUUAAGUUGGAUGUGAAAUCCCCGGGCUCAACCUGGGAACUGCAUUCAAAACUGACUGACUAGAGUAUGGUAGAGGGUGGUGGAAUUUCCUGUGUAGCGGUGAAAUGCGUAGAUAUAGGAAGGAACACCAGUGGCGAAGGCGACCACCUGGACUGAUACUGACACUGAGGUGCGAAAGCGUGGGGAGCAAACAGG